UACGUAGGUGGCAAGCGUUGUCCGGAUUUACUGGGUGUAAAGGGCGUGCAGCCGGGCCGACAAGUCAGAUGUGAAGUCCCGCGGCUCAACCGCGGAACUGCAUUUGAAACUGUCAGUCUUGAGUACCGGAGAGGUCAUCGGAAUUCCUUGUGUAGCGGUGAAAUGCGUAGAUAUAAGGAAGAACACCAGUGGCGAAGGCGGAUGACUGGACGGCAACUGACGGUGAGGCGCGAAAGCGUGGGGAGCAAACAGG
rnacentral:rRNA from 1 species